rnacentral:rRNA from 1 species
UACGUAGGGACCAAGCGUUGUUCGGAUUUACUGGGCGUAAAGGGCGCGUAGGCGGCGUGUUAAGUCAGCUGUGAAAUCUCCGAGCUUAACUCGGAACGGUCAGCUGAUACUGAUGUGCUAGAGUGCAGAAGGGGCAAUCGGAAUUCUUGGUGUAGCGGUGAAAUGCGUAGAUAUCAAGAGGAACACCUGAGGUGAAGACGGGUUGCUGGGCUGACACUGACGCUGAGGCGCGAAAGCUAGGGGAGCAAACGGG